UCAGACGAUGCGUCAUGCAUAUCAAUAAGCGGAGGAAAAGAAACUAACAAGGAUUCCCUUAGUAACGGCGAGUGAAGCGGGAAGAGCUCAAAUUUGAAAUCUUCAAGGUUUUACCUUGACGAAUUGUAGUUUAAAGAAGUGUUUUCUGCUGAAGUUUUGGUAAAAGUUCUUUGGAAUAGGACAUCAUAGAGGGUGAGAAUCCCGUAUUUGACCAUUAUUUUCAGCUUGUGAUACACUUUCAAAGAGUCGGAUUGUUUGGGAAUGCAGUCCAAAAUGGGUGGUAAAUUUCAUCUAAAGCUAAAUAUUGGCGAGAGACCGAUAGCGAACAAGUACCGUGAGGGAAAGAUGAAAAGAACUUUGAAAAGAGAGUUAAACAGUACGUGAAAUUGUCAAAAGGGAAGCGUUUGACACCAGUGUUGUUUUCUCGAAAAUCAAUUAAAAAGAGUUAGAUUUUGUUGUGUAUUGACCUUAACAGCUUGCAUUUCAAUUUUCUCGCUUUUUUUAAUGCACUUUUCGUUUAACAAGUCAACAUCAGUUUCUUUUGUUGUAAAAAGGUCAUUGGAAGGUGGCUUUCUUUUCGGAGAAAGUGUUUAUAGCCUUUGACUCCUGCAAUCGGAGAGACUGAGGUCUGCAGCGUAGAUCCUUCGGGGUUAGAUACAUUUGUGCUAAGUUAUAGCUUUUUAUAGACAACUUGUUGACUAUGAUUAGUCUUGUAGCUUACUCGCUUAUGCUAUUUUACCUACGCUUAGGAUGUUGAGUCGUAGAGCACGCAG
rnacentral:rRNA from 1 species